AUUGAACGCUGGCGGCAUGCUUUACACAUGCAAGUCGAACGGCAGCGCGGGCUUCGGCCUGGCGGCGAGUUGCGAACGGGUGAGUAAUGCAUCGGUACGUGCCCAGUAGUGGGGGAUAGCCCGGCGAAAGCCGGCUUAAUACCGCAUACGACCUGAGGUUGAAAGCGGGGGAUCGAAAGGCCUCGCGCUAUUGGCGCGGCCGAUGUCGGAUAAGCUAGUUGGUGGGGUAAAGGCUUACCAAGGCGACGAUCCGUAGCUGGUCUGAGAGGACGACCAGCCACACUGGGACUGAGACACGGCCCAGACUCCUACGGGAGGCAGCAGUGGGGAAUUUUGGACAAUGGGGGCAACCCUGAUCCAGCCAUGCCGCGUGCGGGAAGAAGGCCUUCGGGUUGUAAACCGCUUUUGUUCGGGAAGAAAUCCUCUGGGCUAAUACCCCGGGGGGAUGACGGUACCGGAAGAAUAAGCACCGGCUAACUACGUG
rnacentral:rRNA from 1 species